UCUCCUGUGGUGCAACGGACUAGUGCAUCUGGCUGUUAACCAGAAGGCUGGCAGUUUGAGCCCACCCAGGAACU